rnacentral:lncRNA from 1 species
GGUUGCCUCCCAGGUAGCGCUUGUUUAACAUCACGAGCCUGACCCAAACCUUCUAGGACUCAUCAGUAAGUGCUUCCCAACACCUUUCAGUAGGUAUACUUACCUGUAUCCCUCAAUAGAUACACAAAAAUUAGCAUCCCUCAGUAGAUGCUACCCAAAAAUUGUUUAAAUGUCCAAAAAUUACAUGUCCAAAAUAAAAUAAAAACUAAUAUAUUACAAAAACUGGGAUGACCCCCAACAAACACCCAUCAGUAGGUGUUGAUAUUCUUCUUGCUUGAUAUUCUUUUCUUUUUCUUCUUCCUGCUGAAUCUCUUCAAAAAAUUGAUCGAACCAAGCACCUGUUUCCAUGUAUCAAUCAUAGGAACUUUAAUCUCCAAUUUCUUGAAGAUCUCCAUAAAGCACUUAAACUUCUUUUCCUUCCUAUGAUUUUUCUUCUGAUGAGGAAGAGGUUUUGCAUAUGAUCUUUUCUUCUUUCCUCUCUUCCUCUUUUUCUCAAUCUUUUCCCCCUCAACUUUCUCCUUUUAUUUUUCCUUGAUUUCUUCUUUUUUAUUUUCUCACUUUUUUUCUUUUCUCUCAACCACUUCUUUUUCUCUCUCCUCAUCUUUCUCUCCCUCUCUCAUCUUUGCUGAUUCUCCUUCCUCUAUCUUUUCCUCCUCUAUCUUCUCCUCAUCAACAACCUUAUCAAUUUGUGUCUCCAAAUUCCUGAAGGUAACUUCAUAGCUCUUGGAAUCGUACUUCUUCAAAAUUUGUCAAAAUUUUCAUUAAGGCUUUUGAGUUGUUCCGACAAAUCAACUGUCUGAUGAUAUAGUUGUUGAUCAUCCUCCCACGUUUCUGUUGGUAAAGAAAAAUGUUACUUCCAUAAACGUUGUUCACCUUCCCCCAACGUUUCUUUUCGCAAAGAGGAUUGUUUCUGCCAAAGACGUUGUUCGACUGCCCUCAACGUUUCUCUUGGCAAAGAGAAUUUUUGCCCAAAUUGGCUUUGAUACAUAUUUGAAUGAG